rnacentral:lncRNA from 1 species
CUGGAUUUGAAAUAGAAACAAAACUAAAUUAUUGUCAAAGCUCGGUAAUGCUCAACAGAAAUAAUUGAAAAGGAAUGGAAUUUUACCGUUUUUUUCGCAUGGAAAUCCCUAUCCUUCAAAACAAGAUGUGAUAUCUUCAUUUUGCAAAAAAUUUACCAAGCUAUAUAUUUACUCAUAAUUUUUCUCAAUACAGUUUUAUUUAGUAUCUUGGAUUGCUGUAUGUCUACGCUUCGAGAAUGGAAAAAGUUAGCCUGGUUUGGCACAAUUGCGUUCACACUUUUUACGUUAAUGAACUUUUUUCAAUACACAAAGAACCAGACUAGCAUCGAUGCCAGAAAUAAUAUUCCAGCUGGAAAGGAAAAAGGACAUCUGAAGACCAUCAUCGACAUGUUAUGUCCAAACAGUGGGACACUCUGCACUGAGAGGUUUGUUAGUCUUAUUUCUAUCCACCCAUAAUAUGUAGCAUUAGGAAUGUUGCUUCUCUC